GGGCGCAUAGCUCAGUCGGUAGAGCGGGACCCUUUUAAGGUCACGGUCGGGGGUUCGAGUCCCUCUGCGCCCA
rnacentral:tRNA from 1 species